CUGACUUGUGUGGUGUUGUAUAAAUAAUGGUAUUUUGUAAAAAGUAUUUUCUGGGCAAACAGUUAUUCUUCUUCAUCUACAGUUGCUAGGCACAGUGAAAUGGUGUUGUCUAGGACUACUCUCAUAUUUGACGAUGGCUGAUGGUGGUUUUUAUCUUUCCCUAACAUUUUUAAUAGAAAAAAAAAAAAAAAAAAUCUUGUUUGUCUUUCCCUAGUGAUGACUCCCUUCUGAUUUCAGUUUCCUUGUAAAAUUUGUUCUCUUUUUUUUUGCCCCCUCUACGGGCGAGUCUGCUACUACUUACUGUUAAUUUUUUGGAUCUAGAUCUGACUUGAUUUAGGUGACAUAUGACAGAAAAUACAAGAGGAAUUCUUGAGGUUUGAAAGGUCUUUCUGGUACAAAUUCUUCAAUAACAAGGGGAAAGACUUUUCUAUGUUUUUUUUUUUUCGGGGGCCGGGGGGGGGGGGGGGUGCGGGAGUUGAACCAGGUAAUCAUUUUAGCAAUUAGUCAAAUAAUGCAAGAACGAUUCUAUUUAUUUUACUUUAUUCUAUUUUUUGGUGGGUAGUUGAAAUUGGAGGUGGUACUUGCAUAAUGAAUCAGGUGGAAUUGGAAAGAAAAAUUAUUUGUUAGUUGAAAAAAAAAAUGCUCUACUUGGGCAGAUGAAUGAAGCUGGUUUUGAUCUGGAGAAAUCAGAAAGCAAAAAUCUAGGCAGGGUCACAAAAAGGAUAUGGCUAAUAGUUACAGAAGGUUGGAAGCUUCAUUCCGGCCAGAGGCGGACCAAUCCUAUUACGAAGUGAUUAUAGACAUCCUUUUAACUUCGAAAAAUCUCCCUCUCUCUCUCUCUAUAUAUGAUAUAUAUACCUUGAAGAAUCAUAAUAUAUAUAAAAGGACCCCUGAAAGAUAUUUGCGGAAUUGGAGCAACUUUGGGUCCUUGCGCGCCAUCCGAGUUGGAGUCUUGGUUACAACAAAGAGUUUUGCGCCAAACUUCGCCACAAGUAAUUUGAAUAUUUAUUGUAAAGACAUUUGUUAUUGGUGCCCCUCAACGCUAAAAUUCUGAAUCCACCUUUAAUUUCAGCUUUAACUCGGGAAGGAACCACAAAUUGAAAGAGCAGGUCACGGCUUUGGUCGUUUCCUUAGUCAUCCGAAGAAAUGCUACACAACAGUGCUACAAGGGCAUUGAGAGUUUUUUAUAGUAAGCAGGGGAAUAAAUGCAAGCAGAUGAAUUCCCGUAGAAUACAAUGGAUAUGUUUGGUAGGAAGGAAAAUGUUUUCUAUUCUCAUUAUUUUGUGUUAAAUAUAAUGAGAGUGGGUCUGUUCUUUUGUUGGUCUUUACUCUUUACCAUGCAACAAACAUUUCCCUUUGAGAAGUGGAUACAAAAUUCAUCUGUAUCUCGUGUAAUUUGGGGGUUGUUAAAAUAAACAGUGUUUGGAAAAAAUAGUAAA